CAUGUUGGAACAAAAAAUUAUCUGAGUUUCUACAAAAAGAGUAACAGGGUUAUUUUGUUUACAGUUUACGGCUCCAAUUGGUUGUUACUGUAGUGUUCAGACAACUACCAUAUUGCUGCCUCGCUGAUCAUGGUUAAUGAAGUUCCUUGUGUCAUUCGUCGAGGACGGUGACGUGAAGAUGUAAGAUAUGGGCCACAAGACGAAGAUAUUGUGAUGUCACGUCUCAAGACCAAGUGAAACUAAGUAGAAGUUCACAAUGUCAAGCAGAGAUAAAAAGCUCUCCUGUGAGGAAUGUGGCAAACAGUUUGGCUUCAAGUCUGCUCUUCAGAAACAUUUACUUGUACACAAUGGUGUGAAGGAGUUUGAAUGUGAGGAAUGUGGGAAAUGUUUCUCCCAGAAGAGUAAUCUCAAGAUACACAUUCUUGGACACAAUGGUGUGAAGGAGUUUGAA